AUUAAGCAUAUCAAUAAGCGGAGGAAAAGAAACUAACAAGGAUUCCCCUAGUAACGGCGAGUGAAGCGGGAAGAGCUCAAAUUUGUAAUCUGGCCCUUUCAGGGUCCGAGUUGUAAUCUCGAGAAGUGUUUUCCGCGUCGGACUGCAUACAAGUCUAUUGGAAUAUAGCGUCAUAGUGGUGAGAGCCCCGUAACUGAUGCAGAUGCCCGAUGCUUUGUGAUACACUUUCGAAGAGUCGAGUUGUUUGGGAAUGCAGCUCAAAUUGGGUGGUAAAUUCCAUCUAAAGCUAAAUAUUGGCGAGAGACCGAUAGCGAACAAGUACCGUGAGGGAAAGAUGAAAAGCACUUUGGAAAGAGAGUUAACAGUACGUGAAAUUGUUGGAAGGGAAACGCUUGAAAUCAGACUUGCUAUUCGGAAUUCAGCCGCAAGGUGUACUUUUCGAUUUGCAGGCCAGCAUCAGUUUUUGGGGGUGGAAAAGGGUGGAGAGAAGGUAGCAACCCCGGUUGUGUUAUAGCUCUUCACUGGAUUCAUCUUUGGGGACUGAGGAUCGCAGUGCGCAUUUAUUUGCAAACCUCUCGAGGUUUUCGUACUUAGGAUGCUGGUGGAAUGGUUUUAAACGACCCGUCU
rnacentral:rRNA from 1 species